rnacentral:rRNA from 1 species
UACGUAGGGGGCAAGCGUUGUCCGGAUUUAUUGGGCGUAAAGAGCGUGUAGGCGGUUAUACAGGUCCGCUGUGAAAACUGGAGGCUUAACCUCCAGACGUCGGUGGAAACCGUAUGACUAGAGUCCGGAAGAGGAGAGUGGAAUUCCUGGUGUAGCGGUGAAAUGCGCAGAUAUCAGGAAGAACACCCGUGGCGAAGGCGGGUCUCUGGACAGUUCCUGACACUGAGACACGAAGGCCAGGGGAGCAAACGGG